rnacentral:lncRNA from 12 species
AUAAUGCAUACUUGGACUUGAAAGCAAGCUGAUGGAAAGACAGAACAUUCAUUUCCUCAUAUACAGCGCUGGAAGUUGCUGGCUGCAAGCUGGCAAGCUUGUAGCAGUGAGAGGGAAAGAUCUCUCCGUUUGUCACUGGCCGUAUAUCACUGCAGCUGUGCCCUUUGAUUACACAGAGGGCUCCUCCAGCCAUUAAUAAUAGGAAGCACUUUUUGUCUGGUGAAU